rnacentral:rRNA from 1 species
CUACGGGUCGCACCAGUGGGGAAUAUUGGACAAUGGGGGAAACCCUGAUCCAGCAAUGCCGCGUGUGUGAGGAAGGCCUGCGGGUUGUAAAGCACUUUCGGUUGGGAGGACUGCUUCUAGCACUAAUAUUGUUGGAAGUUGACGUUACCUUCAGAAGAAGCACCGGCUAACUCCGUGCCAGCAGCCGCGGUAAUACGGAGGGUGCAUGCGUUAAUCGGAAUUACUGGGCGUAAAGCGCGCGUAGGCGGCUAGAUCAGUCGGGUGUGAAAGCCCCGGGCUUAACCUGGGAACUGCAUCCGAUACUGUCUAGCUUGAGUACAGGAGAGGAGAGUGGAAUUCCACAUGUAGCGGUGAAAUGCGUAGAUAUGUGGAGGAACACCAAUGGCGAAGGCAGCUCUCUGGCCUGAUACUGACGCUGAGGUGCGAAAGCGUGGGGAGCAAACAGGAUUAGAUACCCUUGUAGUC